CUGGACGGGGUGAAUAUCCCAAGGCGCGUGAGAGAACCCUGGUUAAGGAACUCGCAAAUUGACACCGUAACUUCGGGAGAAGGUGUGCCGCUGGCGGUUAGUGACUUCGCGUCACGAAGCUGUUGGUGGUCGCAGUGAAAUGGCGGUUGUGACUGUUUACUAAAAACACAGGACUCUGCGAAGUCGUAAGACGACGUAUAGGGUCUGAUGCCUGCCCGGUGCUGGAAGGUUAAGGGGAUAUGUCAGCGCAAGCGAAGCAUUGAACCGAAGCCCCAGUAAACGGCGGCCGUAACUAUAACGGUCCUAAGGUAGCGAAAUUCCUUGUCGGGUAAGUUCCGACCUGCACGAAGGGCAUAACAACAUCCGCACUGUCUCGACCAGGGACUCAGCGAAAUUACAUUGGGGGUGAAGAUGCCUCUACCCGCGGAAAGACGGAAAGACCCCAUGAACCUUUACUGCAACUUGGCAGUGAUUUUCGGGUUGUUCUGCGUAGGAUAGGUGGGAGGCUUUGAAGCCGGGCUUCCGGGUUCGGCAGAGCCAACGUUGAAAUACCACCCUGAAUAAUCUGGAAAUCUAACCUGCGCCCAUGAUCUGGGCGAGGGACACUGCCUGGUGGGCAGUUUGACUGGGGCGGUCGCCUCCUAAAUUGUAACGGAGGCGUGCGACGGUUCCCUCAGGCUGAUUGGAAACCAGCCGUAGAGUGCAAACGCAUAAGGGAGCUUUACUGCGAGACUGACAAGUCGACCAGUUGCGAAAGCAGGUGUUAGUGAUCCGGUGGUACCACAUGGAAGGGCCAUCGCUCAUCGGAUAAAAGGUACUCUGGGGAUAACAGGCUGAUCGCGCCUGAGAGUUCACAUCGGCGGCGCGGUUUGGCACCUCGAUGUCGGCUCAUCGCAUCCUGGGGCUGGAGCAGGUCCCAAGGGUUUGGCUGUUCGCCAAUUAAAGCGGUACGCGAGCUGGGUUUAAAACGUCGUGAGACAGUUUGGUCCCUAUCUUCCGUGGGCGCAGGACACUUGAGAGGAGCUAUCCAUAGUACGAGAGGACCUGGAUGGACGAACCUCUGGUGCUCCGGUUGUCACGCCAGUGGCAUAGCCGGGUAGCCAUGUUCGGAACAGAUAACCGCUGAAGGCAUAUAAGCGGGAAGCUGGCCUCAAGACUAGGUGUCCCUGACGCAAGUCACUAAAGGCCCCUCGAAGACUACGAGGUUGAUAGGCUCGGUGUGGAAGCACAGCGAUGUGCGGAGCUAACGAGUACUAAUAGGCCGUGCGGCUUGACCU
rnacentral:rRNA from 1 species